GGAGAAAGGGGAACAGGGGGCGCUGUGUCAGUGCCUUGGGGAGGGAGAGAGAGAGAGAGAGAGAGAGAGAGAGAGAGAGAGAGAGAGAGAGAGAGAGAGAGAGAGAGAGAGAGAGAGAGAGAGAGAGAGAGAGAGAGAGAGAGAGAGAGAGAGAGAGAGAGAGAGAGAGAGAGAGAGAGAGAGAGAGAGAGAGAGAGAGAGAGAGAGAGAGAGAGAGAGAGAGAGUUGUGUUUAUCAGGGAGAAUCCUUGCUGUUACACACACACACCGUCUAUACACUGCCGGGUCUAGGCUGUCCCGCCCCUUUUUUACUUUCAAUAGGAAAUGUUAUUUAGGAUUUUAUCGCUCCGGGGCAAAUCAUUUAACUUAAUUUUCAGGUGUUGUUUCUUUUAUGGUUUCCGACUUAUUUUUAAAUCAGUUGUUCUGCUACCUUUUAAUUUCUAGGGCUUUGGCUUACCUAAUAACUAGGAAAAGGUACUGGCCGAAGGUACCCUGUUGUCCCCUGUUCUUUGGAACUAACCUUUGGGCAGGCAGCUAGUGUUUGUAGGGCUGAAUUAAUGCAAAUUAUUGCACAUCACUAAUCGAAAAUGACCUUAUCCUGUUCCCAAUGGUGUAGUUUAAUACCUUAACUUUGAAGAAAAUUGCGUUUUUAUUGAGGACUGUUCUUGUCAUAAUUGAUGAAAGAAUAGAAGAGUGUCUUCAUUGCAGUUCUAAAUUUGGUAUUUUGGUAUUUUCCAACCCAUUCUCCAAACUAAGAGGUGAAAACAAGCUGUUUUUGUUGCUCUUUUCAUUUGUGCACAUUAACUGCUUUCACUUUGAAUGCUUUCGCUUUGUCAAGUGAGAGACGUUAUAUCUAAUGAAAAAAAUCUAUGCUGGAUUUCUUAUCUUAUUUGUAGCAUGAUGUGAGGUUAAGGACGUCAAGAAAUAUUUGUAAAUUAGGCUUUUAUAUUACGACUUUAAAAUUUGUGUACAUUUGAGAUGUUAUUAAUUUUGAACAGAAUGAUUUAACAUACUGUAUAUGUGGUUGUAUAGAGUUUACUUACAAGGACCAAGAAGCUGGACAAUUAACUCUAGAAAAUUGGCUUGGAAACAGCCAUGCAACAAUUAGGGAACUAUGUUUUAAUUGCAUCAAAUUUUUAUAAUUUCACACUGAUUAGUUGACUGUUUGUCUGGUGUUAGGUGUGCUUUUGUAUUCCUUGAGUUUUCUUUAUUCAAAAGCACUUAAUGAUAAAUAAUGUAGGCUUUAAUAAAACCUUUAUUCUUAAA
ensembl:lncRNA